CUCUGGAAGGCCUUUGGAAUUAAACUUCAUCAGCAUGUUGGAAUUCGGGGUUUGGUGCAUUCAUAUGUAUUUCAAAAUUUUUAUUUUCUAAAUAUUAUAGUAGAGAAUAAGAUUAAAAUAUUUUUAAUUUAAAUUUUAUAUGCAUAAAAAUAUAAAACCACAUGGAUCUGUUUCAUAUGCUGAAAUUGAUAUAUGCUAAAAUUUAGAUUGUGAUU
rnacentral:lncRNA from 1 species